UACGUAGGGCGCAAGCGUUGUCCGGAAUUAUUGGGCGUAAAGAGCUUGUAGGCGGUUUGUCGCGUCUGCUGUGAAAUUUCGGGGCUCAACCCCGAACUUGCAGUGGGUACGGGCAGACUAGAGUGUGGUAGGGGAGACUGGAAUUCCCGGUGUAGCGGUGAAAUGCGCAGAUAUCGGGAGGAACACCGGUGGCGAAGGCGGUUCUCUGGGCCUUACCUGACGCUGAGGAGCGAAAGCGUGGGGAGCGAACAGG
rnacentral:rRNA from 1 species